CUCGCUGCUAGUAGUAUAUCAGUAGGAGAGCGCGAAGACGUCGUGUCGACAUGUCUUUGUUAAUAGUUUUUAUAUUGACCGCGGUUAUCAGUUCGUACGCAGCGACACCAAAACAAUGUUUCGACAACACGUUUCACUUCGGGGUGGGCUCAUCAGCGCUCCAGACUGAGGGCGCCUGGAACUUAUCAGGGAAAGGCGAAAGCAUCUGGGACAGGUACAGCCAUGAUAAUCAGGAUCUAGUGUUCGACCACACUAACGCUGACGUCGCCACUGACUCCUACCACAAGUAUAAAGACGACAUCAGGAACAUCAAGAAACUCGGCGUCACCUUCUACAGGUUCUCCAUAGCAUGGUCGAGGAUCCUACCCACUGGACUUAUAGAUGAAAUUAAUGAAGACGGUAUCAAACAUUACCACGCGGUGAUCGAUGAAUUAUUAAAGGAAGGCAUAAAGCCAAUGGUGACCAUGUAUCACUGGGACCUGCCGCAGAGCCUGCAGGAGUUGGGAGGCUGGACCAACCCCAUCAUAGCGGAUUACUUCGUCGACUAUGCUAGGGUCCUGCUUCAAAAUUUCGGUGGAAAAGUGAAUACGUGGGUGACUUUCAACGAACCGUAUUCCUUCUGCCACGAUGGAUACGGAGGCCUUUAUGCUCCUGGGACCCGCUCCAGUGGACGCCAUGACUAUCUGUGCGGCCACAACGUGCUAAGAGCACACGGCAUGGCGUUCAGAAUGUAUGAGAAGGAGUUUAGCCAUCUUAAAGCUUCGGUGAGCAUAACCUUGAACAUGUCAUGGCUGGAGCCAGCGACUACAUCCGUAGACGAUCAGGCAGCUGCAGAGCGCGCUAGGCAAUUCUCUUUUGGCUGGUUCGGUCAUCCAAUACUUUCUAAGGAUGGAGAUUACCCUCCAGCGAUGAGGGAGGCAAUAAACCGCAACUCCAGAAUCCAAGGCUUUAACCACUCACGCCUCCCAACCUUCACGCCAGAAGAGGUAGCCAUGAUAAAGAAGUCGUACCACUUCGUGGGAUUAAAUCACUAUACAACAUUUUUGGUUUCAAAAAGAUCUGGUAUCAUCGAUACCAAACCAUCAUACGAGAAUGACGUCGGAGCGAUAUUACGUCAGAGCCCGACGUGGCCUAAAACGAAUUCCUCGUGGUUAAAAAUCCCGUCUCCAGGUGGUGCCGUGGGGCUUCAGGAAAGCUUUGAACUGGAUAAAAAACACCUACAACAACCCGCGACUAUUUAUCACGGAGAAUGGGGUGUCGUAUGAAGCAGGCCUUCAAGACGUGAAGCGAGUGAACUACAUCGAGGCGUACCUGCGCUCGGUACACGACGCCAUAUACAAGGACGGCUGCAAUGUGUUCGGGUACACUUACUGGAGUCUCAUGGACAAUUAUGAGUGGAUGAGGGGUUACUCCGAACGUUUCGGUCUGUUCGAGGUGGACUACAAGUCCUCGAACCUGACGCGGUCGGCUCGCCUCUCCGCCGCCUUUUACUCCACAGUCGCCAGGACCAAGUGCAUCCCAGACAACUUCAAUUACAACUUUAACAAUGAUACUAAUAAUUAGAAUCUGAGGUUACUCUUGUUUUUAAUUUAAAGGCCCUAUGUAACACCAUACACUUUAAUAUAUUUCUUUCCAUCCUGUAUUGUUA
rnacentral:misc_RNA from 1 species